GAGUUUUCAGGGCAGAAGUUGACCGCUGCCCUCCGAAGGCAGAGGUCACAAGUUCGAAUCUUGUCGGGUGCGCCA
rnacentral:tRNA from 3 species